UACGGAGGGUGCAAGCGUUAUUCGGAAUUACUGGGCGUAAAGCGCGUGUAGGCGGGGCUGCAAGUCGGGUGUGAAAGCCCGAGGCUCAACCUCGGAACUGCAUUCGAUACUGCUUGUCUCGAGUCCUGGAGAGGUGAGUGGAAUUCCUAGUGUAGAGGUGAAAUUCGUAGAUAUUAGGAAGAACACCAGUGGCGAAGGCGGCUCACUGGCCCGGUACUGACGCUGAGGCGCGAAAGCGUGGGGAGCAAACAGG
rnacentral:rRNA from 1 species